rnacentral:lncRNA from 1 species
UGUGGAUGCCCAAGGUCAUCUCAGAGCCAAUUCCUCUGGGAUGCCUGUUCCCAGCUCCCUGCCAACCUAGCCUUCCUCCAGGGUGGAGCUUCCUUAUCUCUUAAGGCAGGAAGCAAAGGGAGUCACAGCCAUGGGUUUAGGAUUGAUAUUCCUGGCCAUACAUUUAUUAUAUAAACACAUUUAUAUAUAACUAUAUUUAUAAAUGUAUACAUGUGUAUAAAUAUAUAUGUAUAUAUACAUAUAUACAUGUAUAAAUAUAUAUGUAUAUAUACAUAUAUACAUGUAUAAAUAUAUAUGUAUAUAUACAUUUAUACAUGUAUAUAUAUUUGUGGCAGUUUUAUGAAAAAUGAAUCUCAAAUCCUUGAAUACCUGGUUUCUCCUUGUGGCCAUAAAUAAG